rnacentral:tRNA from 1 species
GCCUACGUAAUUUAUUUAAAAUAUCGGUCUUGUAAAUCGAAUUUAGGAACUUUUCCUCCUAGGCU